UGUGGGAGCGAGCCUGCUCGCGAUGGGGCCGGUACAUUCAAUGUUGAUAUUGUUUGACCGUCCGCCAUCGCGAGCAGGCUCGCUCCCACA
rnacentral:misc_RNA from 1 species